GCAACCUUCGUGUUUAGUUGUCUUUGUUGAGUUUGGAACUUUAAACAGACUGUUGGUGGUAAGUUCGAGGAAGGUGAAG
rnacentral:rRNA from 1 species